ensembl:lncRNA
GGCUUUUGUGACCUGACCUCGGGGGUGGUGCCAUGUGACCUCUGCUGCACGGUAUUGGUCAGAGUACUCACCACACAGCUAGAUUCAAGGGGAGAGGGACACAGACCCUACUCUCAACGGGAGGAGUGCCAAAGAUUUUGCAGUCGUUUUUUAAAAAACUGCCACUGGACGUUUAUAAAGAGCUCACUCUGUGCUAGGCAGCAUGUAAGCGCGUGACCUGCUUAGUCCUAGGUGACACUCGCUAAAACCUUUUGAAGCCCUUACUAGCCUUGGUCCCAUCUUACAGAAGAGGAAAUAAGGCACAGAGAGGUAAAGGAGAGCCCAACCCACAGCUAGUAAAUGGAAGAGGGCGUGUCCAGAGCCACAUCACUCCCCCGGUUGAAAACCACCCAUUUUAGCCAAUUACACUUCAGAUAAACUCAGGCUCCCCACUCUGAUUGGUAAGACCUCACAUCGUAUGGCCCCACCCCCUCACCGGCCUCAUCUUGUCCCCUAUCUCCUGCUCACCUCAUUCUCCAGCCACACUGGACGCUCAGCAGUUCCCUCCUCCUAUAAUUCCCUUCCCAGAUCUUCACUUAUCUGCCCCCUUCUCAUCAUUUAGAUUUCAGCUCAAGCGUCCCCUCCCUUGGUGGUUCUCCACUGCAUCCCAGCCCUUACCGCAGACUGAAAUUAUCUCAUUGAUGUGUUUGUUUUACUGUUGGCCUCCCACUGCUGGAAUGUCAGAUCCGAGGAGGAGAGGGCGUCCUUGCUCACGGCAGCACCUCCAGCACCCGGCCCGGGCUGGCGCGUGGUCCCACUCAGCGCUGUUGAGUGAGUGUGUGAGCGUCUGACUCAGCGCCCGGCCCCCUGAUCCUUGUGCAGUUCUGCACUCUUGCCCUGCGUGCCUCCGUUCAGCACGUGCAGGCUAUGUGCAGGCAGGAGAGAUUUCUUUUCAUUCAUGGUUGGAUUCAGACAGAACGGGUACAGUUUUAGAGCUACAGGGACCUUCAAGUUCAUCCUGUCCAGUGUUCACUCUGGUCCAAGCUGCUUCAGCCUGUUCGUUUGACAGACAGAGAAACAGAGGCUGUGACCUGCCUGAGGUUAUGUAACUGGUGCGUGGUGGCGCCAAGAUCCACCGGGGGCGCGGGGGCCAUCUGAUCCACACCUUUUCCCACCUUCCUGAUGGAAAGAACAGUUCCCGAGCAGCAAGAGACUUGCCCAGGCUCGUAAGUGCAAAGCUGGGGCUGGAACCUGUCCCUUUGGGGGUUCCCCGAGGCCCCUGAGGCCUCCCAGACUCAUCUGCAGCUUUGCCUCCUUCCACCGCACUGAGGGCCACCCCGUGGGCACGCUGGUCAAUGAGCGCUGACCUCAAGGGUGCCGGAUCUGCUUUAAAGAGAAGCCCUCUGAGAGGACCGGGCCCCUCCCAGCGUUUCCUGUUUCUGGGGAGCUGGUCACGGCCGUGUAUGUGCCGCUCUGCAGCGGCAGCGGAGCGAGGGGCUCCCGGGGGACGGGCGGGCCGCUGGCCUGCAGGUUCCCCACAAAGCAAGGAAGCGUGAUGUCACCAGAAGGAGGAUGGAGCUGGAAGUGAAGAAGGACGCCCCUGCCCUCUCAGAGCCAAAGCGAAGGCUUUGAAGGCAAGACGGCAGCGCUGAAAGGCGUCACAGCAACCAAGGAAAGGGAGGUCCAUGUCACCCACCUUCGCAGCCCAGGCAUCCUCGGAGGAGAGCCCCAGGAGCAACAGGCCUGAGCUCUGUGUCCUCACCGAGGUCCCCGGCAGCCGCGAAGCCGCGAAGGAGACAGAACAGCACGUGUGUUCAUUGUCGAUGGUCAACACCAGCGCACACAGCCUGGGAGGCUCUAGGGGACGUCAUGUGGCCCAGGCCACCCCCCGACGGGCCUGAAGGGGAGAGAAGGCACGUGCUCCACGGCUCCAGGCUGUGGGGCUUUGGGUGUUGCCCAAACUGGGAUCAUUUGAACAGGGUCCAGGGGGGCACCCAGCUCUGAGAUCACUGGGGGAUUUUCAGUGAAUCGCCCAAUAACAGCCGCCCAUUGCCGAGGUCCCCAGGCCGUUCCCUGAUGGUCCUGGCUCUGAGCCAGGAAGGGGUCUCCCUACGGGCCUUUUGGACGGAGGGUUACCGGGAAGCAGGACUCUCAGUGCUAGACCCGGGCUAGCCCAGCUUCUGGGUGACCCCGGCUCCUGCUCGCAGGGCCUCGCCCGGAGGAGGACUUCCCUCCAGCUCCGCUCCCCCAGCACGGCCCUCUCUGCCGGCGGUGCUCCCAUGUGAUCACUUAGCUCAUUACUUCAGAAUGAACUGUUUCUGUACCUGUUUGCUGGCCCAGCAGUAAAGCCCCUCAGGAGUGGAGACCCUGCCUCGCUCAUCCUUGUGCCUCCAGGGUCUAGCCCCACGUCUGAACGCCCACCAUCCCUGGACCCCAGACUCAGCAUCCUGUUCUCGGAGUCGCUCCUCCUAGUUACAAAGCACUGUGUACAGGGCCCAGUCUUUGAAAUCUAGAGCACGGCUCCAGUCGGACCGGCCCCACGUCAAGUGCUACCAGCCACGUGUGGCUGGUUUCCUGCGUUGGGCAGUGCAGGACUAGAAUGAUCCAGAGCCAAGUACCCGGUGAAUAUUCAGCAAGGGUGGGGCGAGGCGCUGUGCGUGAGGCAUGGCCUGGGUGCCUGGGGGCGAUGGCAGCAGG